GUGCCGCCAUUGUAAUGGAGAUCAUUACUAUGAGAAGUGUUUUAAGGAGCAUGGUUACCCUGAUUGGUUUGCUGACUACAAAGCUCGUAUGUAUGGUCCCAAUGCCACUUACACUGUGACUCCUGAUGAGGCCCGUCCUCCGACUCCAUCUGCAAAUCUGUGUGCUUCUGAUACUAUGCCAGGAUCUCAGGACUCACGAGAAGAUUGGGCAUGGUAAACGGAUAGGGGGGUUAUAUUACUUACAGUUGCCGGCUGCAGCAGUUCGUGAUUGUGUCGCUAAUAAAGCUCUGAGUGGCAGUGUCAAGGACAAGCACCAACUUUGGUUAUGGCAUCGUCGCUUAGGACAUCCGUCGUUUGGUUAUCUUA